AUUGAACGCUGGCGGCAGGCUUAACACAUGCAAGUCGAGCGGGGUGAUGGUGCUUGCACUAUCACUUAGCGGCGGACGGGUGAGUAAUGCUUAGGAAUCUGCCUAUUAGUGGGGGACAACAUCUCGAAAGGGAUGCUAAUACCGCAUACGUCCUACGGGAGAAAGCAGGGGAUCACUUGUGACCUUUCGCUAAUAGAUGAGCCUAAGUCGGAUUAGCUAGUUGGUGGGGUAAAGGCCUACCAAGGCGACGAUCUGUAGCGGGUCUGAGAGGAUGAUCCGCCACACUGGACCUGAGACACGGCCCAGACUCCUACGGGAGGCAGCAGUGGGGAAUAUUGGACAAUGGGGGGAACCCUGAUCCAGCCAUGCCGCGUGUGUGAAGAAGGCCUUAUGGUUGUAAAGCACUUUAAGCGAGGAGGAGGCUCUUUUGGUUAAUACCCAAGAUGAGUGGACGUUACUCGCAGAAUAAGCACCGGCUAACUCUGUGCCAGCCGCCGCAGUAA
rnacentral:rRNA from 1 species